ACUCCUGCGGGAGGCAGCAGUGGGGAAUAUUGGACAAUGGGCGCAAGCCUGAUCCAGCCAUGCCGCGUGAGUGAUGAAGGCCCUAGGGUUGUAAAGCUCUUUCACCGGAGAAGAUAAUGACGGUAUCCGGAGAAGAAGCCCCGGCUAACUUCGUGCCAGCAGCCGCGGUAAUACGAAGGGGGCUAGCGUUGUUCGGAAUUACUGGGCGUAAAGCGCACGUAGGCGGAUCGAUCAGUCAGGGGUGAAAUCCCAGGGCUCAACCCUGGAACUGCCUUUGAUACUGUCGAUCUGGAGUAUGGAAGAGGUGAGUGGAAUUCCGAGUGUAGAGGUGAAAGUCGUAGAUAUUCGGAGGAACACCAGUGGCGAAGGCGGCUCACUGGUCCAUUACUGACGCUGAGGUGCGAAAGCGUGGGGAGCAAACAGGAUUAGAUACCCGAGUAGUCCCAU
rnacentral:rRNA from 1 species